rnacentral:rRNA from 1 species
AUGCAGUCGCACGCACCCCUCUUCAGGGAUGAGAGUGGCGCACGGCACANUAACACAAGGAGCCAUGCCCGCUAGUGGGGGAUAACGCCGCGAAAGCGACGCUAUUUUCGCAUACGCUGCGCUACACACGCAGGAAAGCCGCAAGGCGCUGGCGGAGGGGCCCGCGGCCCAUCAGGUGGUUGGCGGGGUCGUGGCCCACCAAGCCGAUGACGGGUAGCUGGUCUGUGAGGAUGACCAGCCAGACUGGGACUGAGAAACGGCCCAGACUCCUACGGGAGGCAGCAG